CACCUUAAAGCUAGCCUCACACUCUAAACACAACCCACCAAUACGAAUACCCCCUACGACCCGAGUUGCGUGUUAAACAAACCAUUUUCCCUCCUUAGUAUAGGCGAUAGAAAAGGACACAUUAUGAGCGAUAAAAACAGUACCGCAAGGGAAUGCUGAAAAAGAAAUGAAAGAACCCACAGAAGUACCAAGAAGCAGAGACUAACCCUCGUACCUUUUGCAUCAUGAUUUAGCCAGCAAACCCAAGCAAAGCGAACUUCAGUUUGUCCCCCCGAAACUACGCGAGCUACUCCGAGACAGCCUGUGAAUAGGGCAAACCCGUCUCUGUGGCAAAAGAGUGGGAAGAGCUCUGAGUAGAGGUGAUACGCCUACCGAGCCUAGUUAUAGCUGGUUGCCUGGGAUUUGAAUAGGAGUUCAGCCUUCCAGCUCUUCCCCCCCGUCCUCCUUGACCAAAAGAAGCUGGGAGAGUUAAUCAAAGGGGGUACAGCCCCUUUGAUGAAAGAAACAACUUUUACGAGGAGGAUAAAGAUAUUAUGACGGAGCCAGCACUUAGGUAGGCCCAGAAGCAGCCAUCCUGUGGGAAAGCGUUAAAGCUCAAGUGUCCCCUCCCCCUAAUCCCCAUAACCCCGUCUUAUUCCCCUAACUAUACCGGGCCCUUCCAUGCACACAUGGAAAAGAUUAUGCUAAUAUGAGUAAUAAGGGGACGCACCCCUCCCAGCACAAGUGUACGUCGGAACGGACCCCCCACCGACUCUUAACGGCCCCAAUAGAAGAGGGUCAUGGACGCAAAUCAGAAAACAAGAAGGCCCCCCAUGAAUAAACCGUUAACCCCACACUGGUGUGCUCCAAGGGAAAGACUAAAAGAAAGAGAAGGAACUCGGCAAACACACCUUUCGAAGCCUCGCCUGUUUACCAAAAACAUCGCCUCUUGCAAUCAUCGAAUAAGAGGUCUUGCCUGCCCAGUGACUAUUAGUUUAACGGCCGCGGUAUUCUGACCGUGCAAAGGUAGCGUAAUCACUUGUCCUUUAAAUGGGGACCUGUAUGAAUGGCACGACGAGGGCUUAGCUGUCUCCUCCAACCAGUCAAUGAAAUUGAUCUCCCCGUGCAGAAGCGGGGGUAAAAACAUAAGACGAGAAGACCCUAUGGAGCUUUAGACGCCAGGGCAGACCAUGUCAAGCACCCUCACCUCCAGGAGUAAACCAAGUGUACCCCCUGCUCAAGUGUCUUCGGUUGGGGCGACCACGGGGCAAUAAAAAACCCCCACGCGGAACGGACACACCCCCCUUAAACAAAGAGUUCCCACUCUAAUUAGCAGAAUUUCUGACCAUAAAGAUCCGGCAACGCCGAUCAACGGACCGAGUUACCCUAGGGAUAACAGCGCAAUCCCCUUCAAGAGACCAUAUCGACAAGGGGGCUUACGACCUCGAUGUUGGAUCAGGACAUCCUAAUGGUGCAGCCGCUAUUAAGGGCUCGUUUGUUCAACGAUUAAAGUCCUACGUGAUCUGAGUUCAGACCGGAGUAAUCCAGGUCAGUUUCUAUCUAUGAUAUGAUCUUUUCUAGUACGCAAGGACCGAGAAGAUGGAGCCCAUGUUAACGACACGCCCCGCCCCCAACUAAUGAAAGCAACUAAAAUAGACAAGGGAACAUACUUCCCCGCCCGAGAUAACGGCCCAACGCAACGAGGCAGUUUCCGGAAGAACACGCCGGGCC
rnacentral:rRNA from 1 species